UAGACAUAAACAGCAUUACUCGCAGUCCGCCAGAGGAUUACAAGUGAAAAACUUAAAACUCCAAGGACUUGACGGUGUCCCACCCCACUAGAGGAGCCUGUCCUAUAAUCGAUACCCCACGCUUCACCUCACCCCCCCUAGCUCAGUCUAUAUACCGCCGUCGCCAGCUUACACUCUGAGCGCAUUAACGUAGGCUAAAUAAUCCAACAUAAAAACGACAGGUCAAGGUGUAACUAAUGGAGGGGCAGAGAUGGGCUACAUUUUCUACAUAGAAAAUCACCACCCGCAGUAUGACACUGCCUACAGGCGGAUUUAGAAGUAAAACCGGCAAGAUAUGCCAAUUUGAAGCCCUGGGACGC
rnacentral:rRNA from 1 species